GUCAAUGAAAUAGACUGAAACGCCAUGAAACGUAACUAUUGCGCAUUCGUAAUGCGAAGGUCAGGAGUUCGAUUCCCCUUAUCGGCACCA
rnacentral:tRNA from 1 species